rnacentral:lncRNA from 1 species
AAAAAAAGAAGAUCCGGCUUCCUUGCCUGAACCUUUCUAGCCUAUUAUUACAGCCGUAAUUGGGUGCCUGGGGGAGGGCUGCAGUAAAGCACUGUAGACUUUCCGAGAUAAAGAUAAGGUCAGUGAUUAAAAACAACUAAGAAGAAAUCAAGAUGGCACUAGUAGGAAUUUUUGCCACAAAAGAGGACACUUGCAGCAAGAAGUCCUCGGCACUCUUCCUUAUAUCCUUCCUUGAGUGCACUGCUUGAACGCUGUAGCCUAAAAAAAAGUGACGAAUCUCAGCUGCCACAUUUAGAUCCUUUUUCAUGGCUUUGUGCUAGUCAUGAUGAUUGCUGGCCAAAUGAGCAACCCAAAGUCUCUCCUUUUCCAGUGAAAUUAAAUUCUACCCAGCAAAGACAUUUAGACAUUAUCCGCAUGACCUUGAAAUAUUCAGCAGUUUCGGGCCGUAGUGAGAAUUUUAUUUUCUUUAAAAAACACAGAAAUACUAUCUAUAUUUUCACUUUAAUCCCAGGUGUAGGAUGUGGGGCUGCUUCAGACUGUCUGCAGCACCUGACUGUGGUUUCCCUCAUUCUCUACCAGAGGAGUGAUGCCAGCUGCAGAUUGUUUCUGAUUGUGUGACUAUGGAAUUCUGGGGACUUUUUUCAGAAGAUAUAUAAAUGCUAGGGCCCAAAUUGGGGUUGCUGGUUGGUUGCUAUUGGUCACAGUUUGUUAAGUAGUCAUGCACAAAGAAGAAACAACAAGAAGAAAUUAGAUAUCCUGACAGCAAAGAUCAAACUUGCCUCUAGGAACUCGACAUCCCUAAUCAUCAGGAAGUAGUCUAAAGAUAACAUCACCCCCUUUCCCCUCUAUUCUUUUUUUCCCUUCUCUCAAGUAAUGGAUGAUUGGAUCCUGGCAUGUCAAAAAAUAGGGACUCAGACAUACACAGCCAUUGUUGUUGCAGAAGCUCUUGCGGCAGCCCUAAAGUCUAAUUAGGAGUCACUUCCUGAGCCCAUAAAAAUUCAUUUGAAAACCGAUGAACUUGUUUGGUGGAGCAGUGGCCUUUAAAGAGCAACUGCAGCGUGUUCAGGAAUUAGAAGACCAGAAACACCUGAGACAUACUCCCUAUUUUUGUCAU